AAAACUUCAAAAUUUGGGUGGGCAAGUUAAAAGAAGGCACAACCACAGUUUAACACGAAGCAAUUGAAAAGCCUCAAGAUAAAAAUGCAUCGAUAAUGACUAAGCGUUGCCUACUAUAACUAAAAUGUUGGCAAUAAAAGUUACAAGGAGAUUU